rnacentral:rRNA from 1 species
AGAGUUUGAUCAUGGCUCAGGAUGAACGCUGGCGGCGUGCCUAACACAUGCAAGUCGAGCGUGAACCCUGCGAAUGAAACUUCGGUCGAUUUUGCAGGGGGAAAGCGGCGGACGGGUGAGUAACGCGUAGGUAACCUGCCCCAUACUGAGGGAUAGCCUCGGGAAACCGGGAUUAAUACCUCAUAACACCGUAUAUUCGCAUGGAUGUGCGGUCAAAGAUUUAUCGGUAUGGGAUGGGCCUGCGUCUGAUUAGCUGGUUGGUGGGGUAACGGCCUACCAAGGCGACGAUCAGUAGCCGACCUGAGAGGGUGAUCGGCCACAUUGGAACUGAGACACGGUCCAAACUCCUACGGGAGGCAGCAGUGGGGAAUAUUGCACAAUGGGCGAAAGCCUGAUGCAGCAACGCCGCGUGAGCGAAGAAGGCCUUUGGGUCGUAAAGCUCUGUCGGGUAGGAAGAUAAUGACGGUACUACCCGAGGAAGCCCCGGCUAACUACGUGCCAGCAGCCGCGGUAAUACGUAGGGGGCGAGCGUUAUCCGGAAUUACUGGGCGUAAAGAGUGCGUAGGUGGCUGCUUAAGCGUGAGGUGAAAGGCAAUGGCUUAACCAUUGUGAGCCUCGCGAACUGGGUGGCUUGAGUGCAGGAGAGGAAAGCGGAAUUCCUAGUGUAGCGGUGAAAUGCGUAGAUAUUAGGAGGAACACCAGUGGCGAAGGCGGCUUUCUGGACUGCAACUGACACUGAGGCACGAAAGCGUGGGGAGCAAACAGGAUUAGAUACCCUGGUAGUCCACGCCGUAAACGAUGAGCACUANGUGUCGGGGUCGCAAGACUUCGGUGCCGCAGUUAACGCAUUAAGUGCUCCGCCUGGGGAGUACGCACGCAAGUGUGAACUCAAGGAAUUGACGGGGACCCGCACAAGCAGCGGAGCAUGUGGUUUAAUUCGAAGCACGCGAGACCUUACCAGGGCUGACAUCCCUCUGACAGGUGGGUACGC